CUCGGCUGAGCUGACAGCUAACAGUGUUAGCAUCAGGUAGCUCUGCUGAGCUAACAGUGUUAGCAUCAGGUAGCUCUGCUGAGCUAACAGUGUUAGCAUCAGGUAGCUCUGCUGAGCUAACAGCUAACAGUUCCAACAGAAUUUAAAGUGAACACAGUGACAGAAUCAGUCGCUGGUACGACGUCCGGUCACAGUACCAGCUGUGAGCGGCAGCCCGACCCGACAACGACCCACACUGAUGUUCACAUCGAGUCCUUCUGCAGGAACCUGGAGCUCCGACAGGUGAAGCUGUGAGCUUCGGUAAAAACAAGAAAGUCUCAACUUCUUCUGAAUUAUUUUGACUUUCGUCAUGUAAAUCACCUUGUCAGGUAUAUUAUUAGUUAUAUAUAUUUAAACUGAGCUAAAUAAAACAACAACAGUCUUCA